rnacentral:rRNA from 1 species
UACGAAGGGGGCUAGCGUUGUUCGGAAUUACUGGGCGUAAAGCGCGCGCAGGCGGUUUUUCAAGUCAGUGGUGAAAGCCCGGAGCUCAACUCCGGAACUGCCAUUGAAACUGCGAAACUUGAGGAUGAGAGAGGUGAGUGGAAUUCCCAGUGUAGAGGUGAAAUUCGUAGAUAUUGGGAAGAACACCGGUGGCGAAGGCGGCUCACUGGCUCAUUUCUGACGCUCAGGCGCGACAGCGUGGGGAGCAAACAGG